UAGAAAAAAACCAUUCCGUCUAAUGUACUGAUUAUAAACUCAUUUUAAUACACACCGUUAACAUUUACGUUGUUGUUCAUUUACAUUAAUACCAUAAUUGCUUUUCAGGAUUAUGAUUAUUCAGAUUAUUAACUACAUCAUUUGCACAACAGUACAUAUGGUUAAAGCUUGGAUAAUAGUUGAUGAAUAAUUGUAUAUAAUCCGUCUAUCGAAAGAUGUUGACAGUUUCCGUUCGGUGCAUCGUAUUUAUUGUUUAAAAAAAGUUCAGUACAUCAAGUUGGUUCAAGUGCUGCAAUUAAAAUUCCAUCCAAGUGAAAUGAAUAAUGGCUGACUUGCAGGGCUUGUUAUCAACCCCCUAAAUUUUCGGAACACCAAAAUUUCCGGUGGCCUAUGGUGCAGAAUUUUGUUUGGCACUAGGACGAUGAUCAGCCUUCCCUAAAAUGGGGAACAGACGCUGUUGUGAGCCGCUUCUAACAUGGAGAACAGACGUUCGAUUAGAUUUGGACCCCAGGAAAGGAUCAAACCUCCCACCUUCCCUGUCAGCGUACGACCCUAGUUCCCACCGGAGUUGGUGAUCCGAUCUUCCCUAAGGUGGCUCGUACACUGGCCAGCACCACGGGGAUGUAGGGAUAGCACGAUGAGAGUUGCUGGGUAAGAAGCUGAGGGCCACGAAAUUGGGUCUAUUUUAUUCCUUCAGGGGCGCGAAGUAACAAUGUGCAAUGAAGAUUCCAUCCAAGUGGAAUGAAUAAUGGCUGACUAGCAGGGCUUGUCACCAACCCCCUGAAUUUUCGGAAGACCUAAAUUUCCGGUGGCCUAUGGUGCACAAUUUUGCUUGAAGAUCCUCGCCGGCACUCGGACGAUGAUCAGCCUCUCCUAAAAUAGGGAACAGAUGCUGGUGUGAGCCGCUUCUAACAUGGAGAAUAGACGCUCGAUUAGAUUUGGAUCCCAGGAAAGGAUCAAACCUCCCCCUUCCCUGUCAGCGUACGACCCUAGUUCCCACCGGAGUUGGUUACCCGAUCUUCCCUAAGGUGGCUCGUACACCGGCCAGCACCACGAAGAUGUAGGGAUAGGACGAUGGGAGUUGCUGGGUAAGAAGCUGAGGGCCACGAGAUUAGGUCUAUUUUAUUCCUUCAGGUGCGUGAAGUACCAAUGCUACGCUUUACCAUCCAUUUGCCGUGAUUUAAAUCUAUUUUUUUAUUAUCUUAUAAGUUUUAUUGAUAUUUUUAAAUAAAUUGUCUGUAAGUUGAUGUCUCAGUUUAUAUAAAUGAUUAUUAAGAUGAAAGAAAUUGAAAAUAAAUUCUGAAGCAAUAAUAUAA